GUCGAACGGUGAAGCCCUUCGGGGUGGAUCAGUGGCGAACGGGUGAGUAACACGUGGGCAAUCUGCCCUGCACUCUGGGACAAGCCUUGGAAACGAGGUCUAAUACCGGAUAUUACCCCUGGGGGCAUCCCUGGGGGUGGAAAGCUCCGGCGGUGCAGGAUGAGCCCGCGGCCUAUCAGCUUGUUGGUGGGGUGAUGGCCUACCAAGGCGACGACGGGUAGCCGGCCUGAGAGGGCGACCGGCCACACUGGGACUGAGACACGGCCCAGACUCCUACGGGAGGCAGCAGUGGGGAAUAUUGCACAAUGGGCGAAAGCCUGAUGCAGCGACGCCGCGUGAGGGAUGAAGGCCUUCGGGUUGUAAACCUCUUUCAGCAGGGAAGAAGCGCAAGUGACGGUACCUGCAGAAGAAGCACCGGCUAACUACGUGCCAGCAGCCGCGGUAAUACGUAGGGUGCGAGCGUUGUCCGGAAUUAUUGGGCGUAAAGAGCUCGUAGGCGGCUUGUCACGUCGGAUGUGAAAGCCCGGGGCUUAACCCCGGGUCUGCAUUCGAUACGGGCAGGCUAGAGUGUGGUAGGGGAGAUCGGAAUUCCUGGUGUAGCGGUGAAAUGCGCAGAUAUCAGGAGGAACACCGGUGGCGAAGGCGGAUCUCUGGGCCAUUACUGACGCUGAGGAGCGAAAGCGUGGGGAGCGAACAGGAUUAGAUACCCUGGUAGUCCACGCCGUAAACGUUGGGCACUAGGUGUGGGCGACAUUCCACGUCGUCCGCGCCGCAGCU
rnacentral:rRNA from 1 species